UACGUAGGGCGCAAGCGUUAUCCGGAAUUAUUGGGCGUAAAGAGCUCGUAGGCGGCCAGUUGCGUCUGCUGUGAAAUCCCGGGGCUCAACCCCGGGCGUGCAGUGGAUACGGGCUGGCUAGAGGCAGGCAGGGGAGAACGGAAUUCCCGGUGUAGCGGUGAAAUGCGCAGAUAUCGGGAGGAACACCGGUGGCGAAGGCGGUUCUCUGGGCCUGUACUGACGCUGAGGAGCGAAAGCGUGGGGAGCGAACAGG
rnacentral:rRNA from 1 species